AGCGGCGGCAAAAUAUGAACAUACUAGACCAACGGUGCCGGUUUCUCUGGUGAGAGAUCCGGAAGUUUUAGGGUUCCGACAAGGUCCGGUUAACUCCGGUGAUAACCAGAUUUAGAUACGGGCUCAGCAUAGUGGUUUGUUGAAUUGGUGCAUGUGUGAAGAAUUGAUGUUACUCUGUCCAGUUUGCAAGGUUUUAAAGGAAUGGAACGCGUUUGCUUGGUGGGAUGACCUUAAUUAUUAUAGCUCGGCAUAA
rnacentral:lncRNA from 1 species